rnacentral:misc_RNA from 1 species
AUCUAAAACUGGAAUAAAGCAUAAUUCAUAACAAAGUUGAGAUGAUAUGAUGAAACAAAGCAUGUCAAUUUUUAACCAUCAAAGUUGGAGAAUGGUAGUUUACCAAGUCUGGCAAGGAAAUCGAAAUGGAUGAAAAAACCAGUAAAAACUAUGAAGGGAGAUUAGAAGAAAGUUUGAGGCAUUCACUUUGACAUCUCCUGAGGCAGACAUCAUUCCAGUUUGGCACUUGAUGCUGGUUGACACAGACAGUACGAGCGCAGGCAUCAGAGCAAGCAUCAAGUUCGGAUACGCCACAAACAGUAAUACAAGUAUCGGGAAUUGGAUCCUUGGAAAAUGCACCAACCUUCUUCAACAUUCUCUUUGACGUACAGACUCUCUCGCACACGAAAAUAUCAUCAGUGCUCUUCUCCCUGCCCCGUGCACUCUUGAUUCUCUGCUCCUCAGCAUGAUUUCUCUUAAUUCUGUAAGCUUGACCAGCUACAAUAGCAGGAAUAGCAGCCCCUAACAAGGACCACCAUACCUCAACCAUUAGGGCUACAGCUGUGGAAUUGUUUGUUUUCUUCCUCCCUUCAAAAAAUAAAAAUGGAGGAAGCAAGUUGAAUGAAGU